AUAUCAAUAAGCGGAGGAAAAGAAACCAACAGGGAUUGCCCUAGUAACGGCGAGUGAAGCGGCAACAGCUCAAAUUUGAAAUCUGCCCUUGGGUCCGAAUUGUAAUUUGUAGAGGAUGAUUUUGGUGCGGUACCUUCCGAGUUCCUUGGAACAGGACGCCUUAGAGGGGUGAGAGCCCCGUACGGUUGGAUACCUAGCCUCUGUAAAUCUCCUUCGACGAGUCGAGUAGUUUGGGAAUGCUGCUCUAAAAUGGGAGGUAAAUUUCUUCUAAAGCUAAAUACUGGCCAGAGACCGAUAGCGCACAAGUAGAGUGAUCGAAAGAUGAAAAGCACUUUGAAAAGAGGGUUAAAUAGCAC
rnacentral:rRNA from 1 species